UACGUAGGGGGCAAGCGUUGUCCGGAUUUAUUGGGCGUAAAGCGCGUGUAGGCGGUUACGUAAGUCUGCUGUGAAAGUCGGAGGCUCAACCUUCGAAAGCCGGUGGAUACUGCGUGACUAGAGUGUGGUAGGGGAGACUGGAAUUCCUGGUGUAGCGGUGAAAUGCGCAGAUAUCAGGAGGAACACCGAUGGCGAAGGCAGGUCUCUGGGCCACUACUGACGCUGAGAAGCGAAAGCAUGGGGAGCGAACAGG
rnacentral:rRNA from 1 species